CAUUGUCUUGACAGAAGCCCACCUGAGCAGCAAGACCAAACCCCACCUUGUGUCUAUUCUGUCAUCACAAAGCUGUCUAGGGAUGAGGAAGAGGACAGUAGUCUGCAAUACGCUACAGUGACAUAUACCAGUGACCGAGCUAGUCUUCAAUAUGCAACAGUGACAUCUACCGGUAACCAAGUUGGACCUGGG